UACAUGUGGGGCAAGCGUUGUUCGGAAUUACUGGGCAUAAAGGGUGCGUAGGUGGUUUGUUAAGUCAGGGGUGAAAUCCCGCGGCCCAACCGUGGAACUGCCUUUGAUACUGGCGAACUUGAGUGCGUGAGGGGUAGGGGGACCGAGCAGUGUAGCGGUGAAAUGCGUAGAUAUUGCUCGGAAGGCCAGAGCCGAAGGGGCCCUACUGGUGCGCAACUGACACUGAGGCACGAAAGCGUGGGGAGCAAACAGG
rnacentral:rRNA from 1 species